GACGAACGACUGGCGGCGUGCCUAAUAACAUGCAAGUACGAGCGAGCUGAAUUCAAAGAUCCCUUCGGGUGAUUGUUGGACGCUAGCGGCGGAUGGGUGAGUAACAACGUGGGCAAUCUGCCCUAAAAGGACUGGGAUACCACUUGGAAACAGGUGCUAAUACCGGAUAACAACAAUGAAUCGCAUGAUUCAAGUUUGAAAGGCGGCGCAAGCUGUCACUUUAGGAUGAGCCCGCGGCGCAUUAGCUAGUUGGUGGGGUAAAGGCCUACCAAGGCAAUGAUGCGUAGCCGAGUUGAGAGGACUGAUCGGCCACAUCGGGACU
rnacentral:rRNA from 1 species